rnacentral:rRNA from 1 species
AAAGCAAUUUCAGUCAGGAGGAAAGGUUAGUAGUUAAUACCUGCUAGCUGUGACGUUACUGACAGAAGAAGCACCGGCUAACUCCGUGCCAGCAGCCGCGGUAAUACGGGAGGGUGCGAGCGUUAAUCGGAAUUAUUGGGCGUAAAGCGUACGCAGGCGGUUUGUUAAGCGAGAUGUGAAAGCCCCGGGCUCAACCUGGGAACUGCAUUUCGAACUGGCAAACUAGAGUGUGAUAGAGGGUGGUAGAAUUUCAGGUGUAGCGGUGAAAUGCGUAGAGAUCUGAAGGAAUACCGAUGGCGAAGGCAGCCACCUGGGUCAACACUGACGCUCAUGUACGAAAGCGUGGGGAGCAAACAGGAUUAGAUACCCUGGUAGUCCACGCCGUAAACGAUGUCUACUAGAAGCUCGGAACCUCGGUUCUGUUUUUCAAAGCUAACGCAUUAAGUAGACCGCCUGGGGAGUACGGCCGCAAGGUUAAAACUCAAAUGAAUUGACGGGGGCCCGCACAAGCGGUGGAGCAUGUGGUUUAAUUCGAUGCAACGCGAAGAACCUUACCUACACUUGACAUACAGAGAACUUACCAGAGAUGGUUUGGUGCCUUCGGGAAYUCUGAUACAGGUGCUGCAUGGCUGU